CCAGCAUUCCUGGGUAGGCCAAGGGUGUCCUACAUAAUACCUCUUAAGUUAGAUCUACAGGGUGUCUGA
rfam:Felis catus isolate Cinnamon breed Abyssinian chromosome C2, whole genome shotgun sequence.